UACGGAGGAUGCGAGCGUUAUCCGGAUUUAUUGGGUUUAAAGGGUGCGUAGGCGGGCUGUUAAGUCAGCGGUAAAGGCCCGGGGCUCAACCCCGGCGAGCCGUUGAAACUGGCUGUCUUGAGAUGUCGAGAGGUAUGCGGAAUGCGCAGUGUAGCGGUGAAAUGCUUAGAUAUUGCGCAGAACUCCGAUUGCGAAGGCAGCAUACCGGCGGCGAUCUGACGCUGAGGCACGAAAGCGUGGGUAUCGAACAGG
rnacentral:rRNA from 1 species